AUACCAAUAAUAACGAAUGAUGACACGACAUGAUUACACCAUUAGAGUUUUUAGUUGUGGUUGGAUGUGAGUUGGUGGUACUCGACAUGAGAUAUUAGAUAGGCCACCUCCGAUCUUUUAGGCGCCUAAAAUCCAAGAAGAUUUCCAUUGAUAACGGAAAAGUACAACAAUGGCGUAGAAUAACAUGGAGAGGUCAGACUAUUAGGAUUUCUAAUUAUAGGUGGAUGCACAACAAGAACAAUAGUUUUUGCUAAGCAUUCAUCCCUCAUAUUUCAUUCGAUGCGAGUCAACCCUUUAACUAACUAAACCGGUGCAUUUAUCAUCCCCACC
rnacentral:lncRNA from 1 species